AGGAUUAGCUUAUCCAAUUGGUUUAUUUUACGUUGUUAUCACCGGUACGGAUUUGUUUAACUCAAAUAUA
rnacentral:tRNA from 1 species